rnacentral:rRNA from 1 species
AAUAGAUACCCUGGUAGUCCACGCCCUAAACGAUGUCAACUAGUUGUUGGGGAUUCAUUUCCUUAGUAACGUAGCUAACGCGUGAAGUUGACCGCCUGGGGAGUACGGUCGCAAGAUUAAAACUCAAAGGAAUUGACGGGGGACCCGCACAAGCGGUGGAUGAUGUGGAUUAAUUCGAUGCAACGCGAAAAACCUUACCUACCCUUGACAUGGUCGGAACCCUGCUGAAAGGUGGGGUGCUCGAAAGAGAACCGGCGCACAGGUGCUGCAUGGCUGUCGUCAGCUCGUGUCGUGAGAUGUUGGGUUAAGUCCCGCAACGAGCGCAACCCUUGUCCUUAGUUGCUACGCAAGAGCACUCUAAGGAGACUGCCGGUGACAAACCGGAGGAAGGUGGGGAUGACGUCAAGUCCUCAUGGCCCUUAUGGGUAGGGCUUCACACGUCAUACAAUGGUCGGAACAGAGGGUUGCCAAGCCGCGAGGUGAGCCAAUCCCAGAAAACCGAUCGUAGUCCGGAUGCAGUCUGCAACUCGACUG